UCCAAUGUGGUGUACAGUAGUGGCCAACAUUGCUAUCUUUCACUCCCAAGCUUUUCCCUAUCUCACAGCAGCCCGGGGUUCGAUUCCCCGCAUUGGAA